GUGGACCAGCGGGUGUUCAGAGACCUCCUGAGUGAGAAGCUGCCUCGACUGCACACCCAUUUUGAGCAGUACAAAGUGGACUACACCCUCAUCACCUUCAACUGGUUUCUGGUGGUAUUCGUGGACAGCGUUGUCAGCGACAUCCUCUUUAAGAUAUGGGACUCUUUCCUUUAUGAGGGACCAAAGGUGAGGAGACUCUGCAGAUAUAGACACUUGUCAGAUGUGUCAGUACUGGCAGAGUAGCCAACUCACCUGGAACUUGUGAGGUUACCCCAGCAUCAGAUCUGCCUCCCUGUGAUGUGCCCCGCAGGCCUUGGGGAGCAGCAGUUACUCAUCCAUGAAGGACCUCACUGUGAAGCUAUCCUGUCCUAGAGUAAACUAGCAUAACACUCAGUGGCUUCAUGCUCCAGCACUUGCCUUGCUCAUGGGAGGCCUCUAGGUUCAGUCCCUGUCCUCCUGCUGCCUCCUGCUACUGCGCUACACCGUAGCACAGCACAUAAGAAAUAAUAAACAAAAGGCUGGUGGGACAGCACAACAAGCCUCACAGCCCGAGUCUAAAUCUCUGUGAUUACAUGUCGGCAGGAAAGAACCAACUUCUGCAAGUUUUCCUCUGACCUCUACACAUAAGCAUAUAAACAGACCAAAUAAAGAAGUUUAGUAAAAAUAAAAACUAAAUAUAACUAAGGAUAUAUAAUAGG
rnacentral:lncRNA from 1 species